CAGGCGCAGGUCACGGUGCCCGUGGAGCUGUGCGGCGCUGAGCUGCGGCGCCUGCCAAAGAGAAGCUGCUCCGAGCAUCCCCCGGCCGUGGUGGCCAAGAGUGC